rnacentral:rRNA from 1 species
AUUGAACGCUGGCGGAAUGCUUUACACAUGCAAGUCGAACGGCAGCACGGGGCAACCUGGUGGCGAGUGGCGAACGGGUGAGUAAUACAUCAGAACAUGCCCAAUCGUGUGGGAUAACGUAGCGAAAGUUACGCUAAUACCGCAUACGAUCUACGGAUGAAAGCGGGGGAUCGCAAGACCUCGCGCGUAUGGCGCGGCCGAUGUCAGAUUAGGUAGUUGGUGGGGUAAAGGCUCACCAAGCCGACGAUCUGUAGCUGGUCUGAGAGGACGACCAGCCACACUGGGACUGAGACACGGCCCAGACUCCUACGGGAGGCAGCAGUGGGGAAUUUUGGACGAUGGGCGCAAGCCUGAUCCAGCCAUUCCGCGUGCAGGAUGAAGGCCUUCGGGUUGUAAACUGCUUUUGUACGGAGCGAAAAGGCUCUCUCUAAUACAGGGGGCUCAUGACGGUACCGUAAGAAUAAGCACCGGCUAACUACGUGCCAGCCGCCGCGGUAAUAC